rnacentral:lncRNA from 1 species
AUUUUUUCUUAAAGUGGGUGAAAUUCAACCGUGGUUGCAUGCUCCCCUUCAUCAAAGUCAUUAAUCAGACAGCUUCAUGGAGUUUGCAAAGUCCCAAAAGGUGAGGUAGCACUCAUGCUGCUGAGAAGAGAUAGAUUUGCUUUAUAGAACAGAAGGCAGUGAGCUUUUUGUGGUGCUUAGUUUCAUGAAUUUGAAGAUGAGUUGGAGAGGGUGUGUCGGGUUCUUUCGUGUGAGAAUUCUUCAGAGAUCUUUUACAAGCAAUAACUUUAGAACAUAAAUUACCCAGGCAGGUAAAGGAGUUGGACUAAAAAAAAAGUUCGCAUUGGCUGAAACCUUAGGAGAAAAAUCUUUGGAUAAGAUCUUCAAACCUGGCGGCAUUAUGGUCCUCAUUCUUGUAGUUAACUCUGACUUUUAUUUUCAACUUUUCGACAAGAGAGGCAACAUUCUCAAAAGAAUAUCAAUAUUGAACAGUACUUUUGUGAAGAACUAUGCAAAAGUGAUAACUGAACCAACCAAUGCUUCUCACUCACCAGGAACGUGUAAAGGAAGGGAUGCUUUCUUUAAACGAUUUCACUGAACUGAAUUUAUCACAUGAAGAUGUGUCCUUUUCGGUCUGACGAUCUAUACGACUUUGCUGCAUCUUGGAGGUGACCAUUAACAAGAAUUAAGAAGAUCAUAAAACCACUUUGUAUGAAUCCAGACACUUAAAAAACUUAGAGUGAAGCUCAAUGAGGGACCUCAA